AAACAUGGCUGACGUUCUCAAGGAGUCCAUGGUCUAGUGGAUAUUCAGUAUCCAUGACUGCACAAGUUACCUCAAAAUGCAGCAGCUUAAAACAGCACCAGUUAUUUAUUAACUCAAAUGGUUUCUGUGUGUCAGGAAUCUCAGAGUAUAUUCGCUGGGUGGUUCUUAGGAUUCCUCAUGAGGUUGCAGUCAUCUGAAUACUUGCUCUGGGAUGUAAGAUCUAAUUCUAUGCUGGCUCCCACAUACAUGCCCGGCAGUUGAUGCCAGCUAUCAAUAAGAAGGCUCACGUUUUUGCCACUCCAGAAGUCUGCUUGAGAGUCUUUACAACAUGCUGGCUUCCCCCAAAGUGAGUGGUCCCAAAGACAGCAAGGUGGAGGCAAGGUUAUCUUGAAAACUUGGCCUCAGAAGUAACAUGGCAUCAUUCCUGCAACAUCUUAUUGGUUAUAUAGAAUGAUGACAAAGGAGAAGUGAACCAAGGGGAAUGUGAUCGUGGAUCUACAGACACGUCCCUCCUCCUAUCGGUGGCACAAAACCCCUUCCUCUCUCAUCGCCCAGCAAGAAGCAUCCUCUAUUUAGCUUUGCGAAGCUUGAGGGGAUUGGUCACUGGAGCAUUUACAGACUGCCUGAACAUCCUUCAGUACUUUAUGUUAUGAAAUGGAGCAUUUCAAAGCACUGGGAAUUCUGAUUUGUGAACUGGACUGUUACAGUGGCUUAAUUUCCUGAAAUAUAGCUGCCUUCUUCACUAAUAGAUUUUUCAAUGCACUGAGGAGAAAAUUGCAUUAGCUGCUGCGUAGCCUGAUCUUAAUAAUUUUAGAAGCUGCAAUUCUUAUUACCGUGCACAGUAUGUAUUUAUGUAUGUAGACUUAGCACAGUGUCUGACACAUAGAAGGCACUCAAUGAAUAGUUUUGAAAAAGUGAAACAAUGCAUUUACACAGAAAACACUUAUUGAGAACCAUUGCUUCUGAUGGGGAUAUACUGAUGCACCUGCUUCGUUCAUUCAUUCAUUCAACACUUCAGCGACUUCUAAGUGUAAAGCUCUGUGCCAGAUGAUUGCUUUGAGGAAAUAACAGUGCAGUUUGGGGAGACAUAACAAAUAAUUUCAGAAAGGAUGGUCACAGCUGUCAGGGUGGUGGUUUACCCUGACAGGAGGUGGGAGUGAGGGAGGUGGGGCAUGGGAUGGUGAAGAUAUCCAGGUGGCUUUGGUGCUAUUGUUCUAGUUUUAAGUUAGAUGACACGGUGCUUUAUCAGGGUAUGCCAUAACCUGUCUAUCUGUAGUCUUCCUAUGUAUGUGAAUAUGCUCAUAUAUACAGAUAUCACCGCGAAAGCACAUGGAUAAACAUGUGUGUGUAUACAUACCCUCUCUAUCUGUGGAGGAUUGGUUCCAGCACCCUCAAGGAUACCAAAAUCCUCAGGUGCACAAGUCCCCUGAUGUAAAUAAGUGUAGUAUUUGCAUAUAACAUAGGUAUAUCCUCCCAUAUACUUUAAAUCAUCCCUAGAGUGCUUAUUAAUACCUAAUGCAAUGUAAAUACUAUGUAAAUGGCUGUUAUACAGUAUUGUUUAGAGCAUACUGAAAAGAAAAUAAAUAUCCAUAAAUGUUCAGUUCAGGUGUAACCCAUCUAUUCUUUUCCCCUGAAUACUGUCAAGUCUUGGUGGGUUGAACCCAAGAAUACAGAACCCACAGAUAUAGAUAGGUGACUAUGUAUGCGUGGUGUAUUUAGUUAUAUUUCAUUCCUGUUCAAAGUGCUAAGAAGAGAGAUAAUCACUCUGCUAUUAAACGCAAGUGGAAAAAAAGAUUUUGUUUCUGUUACCAUAAAUUUACUCUACUGCAUGCAUUCUUAACAGACACAAAAGUUGGUUCUUGUGGGGAUCAAAAAAAAAUAAGAUAUUCCAAUGGUUUGGUAUUAAAAUCUCAUGUUAGAGGUUUAAUCAGGGAAAUAAAAAGUAUAAAAAGGCACAUAGGAGAGGGGAGUGAUAAUAUUUAAAAAGAGGUUAAGAAACACCACCCUCCAGGAUCUUACAACACUAAAAUAGCCACAAAACAGAGAAGUAUGCAAAAGCACACGCAUACACAUCUCAAAAACCUGCUCCCCGAUCUUAGCCUCUGCUGAAUCCAACAGUUCUUUCUUGCCUUUCUGAAUUUAAUCAGAAGGCAGCUGAAUCAGAAAACACACUUCUCUGUUGUCAAGUUCAUCUGGAUAUUUGGGGAGCAAUUUCUCUCGCUCUCACAACCAUACCUUCUUCCACUCUUACCUCCGCCUUCCCAUGGAGCCAUCUAAAAAGGGCAGCCACAUAGGCUGCAAUUAAAGAAGCCCCACACUGCUCUACAUUAAUGAGGCACUUUGCUUUUCAUUUUCAGAGGGCUCUUUAGCACUUUGUAGGUGACACCCUUGCCUGUGACAAUCUCUGUUACUAGCUGCGGAGAUACACCUUGCAGAAUUGCUGAGUUCCUACAUAGUAUACAUAUUUUUUAAUCCCCUGGGAAUAUUUAAGCGUCCUUGAUCUGGAAGCAACAUGGAAUGAUGGCACGAGCACUGUCUUCAAUACAAGCUGGAGUGUGGCAAUUCCCUUCUCUGAAUUUCAGGUUUUGCAUCUGUAAAGCAGACACAAGGCGGCCGGGCGCAGUGGCUCACGCCUGUAAUUCCAACACUUUGGGAGGCCAAGGGGGGCAGAUCACCUGAGCUCGGGAGUUUGAGACCACCCUGACCAACACGGAGAAAUCCCAUCUCUACUACAAAUACAAAAUUAGCCAGGCAUGGUGGUGCAUGCCUGUAAUCCCAGUUACUUGGGAGGCUGAGGCAGGAGAAUCGCUUGAACCCAGGUGGCGGAGGUUGCGGUGAGUCGAGAUCGCACCACUGCACUCCAGCCUAGGCAACAAGAAUGAAAC
rnacentral:lncRNA from 10 species